rnacentral:rRNA from 1 species
AUUGAACGCUGGCGGCAGGCCUAACACAUGCAAGUCGAACGAGUGGCGGACGGGUGAGUAAUGUCUGGGAAUCUGCCUGGUGGAGGGGGAUCACUACUGAAAACGGUAGCUAAUACCGCAUACCCUCAGAUGUGCCAAGAUGGGAUUCGCUUGUUGGUGGGGUAACGGCACACCAAGGCCACGAUCCCUAGCUGGUAUGAGAGGAUGACCAGCCAAACUGGAACUGAGACACGGUCCAGACUCCUACGGGAGGCAGCAGUGGGGAAUAUUGCACAAUGGGCGCAAGCCUGAUGCAGCCAUGCCGCGUGUGUGAAGAAGGCCUUCGGGUUGUAAAGUACUUUCAGCGGGGAGGCGUUACCCGCAGAAGAAGCACCGGCUAACGCCGUGCCAGCAGCCGCGGUAAUUC